AAGUCAAGCUAUGAUGGGCAUAUGAUGGAUGCCUAGGCACAGGAGAGCGAUGAAGGACGUGGCAAGCUGCGAAAAGCCACGGUGAGGUGCAAGCAACCGUAGACCCGUGGAUUUCCGAAUGGGGCAACCCGGCUCGGGUCAUGCCGAGUCACUCUCGAGCAAUCGGGAGGGCGAACCCGGGGAAGUGAAACAUCUAAGUACCCGGAGGAAAAGAAAGAGCAAUCGAUUCCCUUAGUAGCGGCGAGCGAAGCGGGAAGAGCCUAAACCCAAUACAUGUAUAAGGCCGUAGCCGUUGUGUAUUGGGGGUAGUGGGGAGCUGAUGCGGUGUGCUACGGAGCACCGGAGGAGUGAUAAAGCUUGAUGAUAGCUGAAUGGUCCUGGAAAGGCCAGCCAUAGAGGGUGAUAGCCCCGUAAGCGAAAUUGUCAAGCCUCCUUGGUCAGCUUUCCCGAGUACUGCGGGGCACGUGGAACCCUGUGGGAAUCUGCCCGGACCACCGGGUAAGGCUAAAUAUGCUCCUGUGACCGAUAGUGCACUAGUACCGUGAGGGAAAGGUGAAAAGCACCCCGGGAGGGGAGUGAAAUAGAACCUGAAAUCAUAUGCCUACAAUCAGUCGGAGCUCCGGUUCGCCGGAGUGACGGCGUGCCUUUUGCAUAAUGAGCCAGCGAGUUGUGGUAGGCAGCGUAGGUUAAGCCCUUCAGGGGCGGAGCCGUAGCGAAAGCGAGUCUGAACAGGGCGAAUGAGUUGCCUGCUGCAGACGCGAAGCCGGGUGAUCUACCCAUGGCCAGGGUGAAGCCUCGGUAAAACGAGGUGGAGGCCCGAACCCACUGAUGUUGAAAAAUCAGGGGAUGAGCUGUGGGUAGGGGUGAAAGGCCAAUCAAACCCGGAGAUAGCUCGUACUCCCCGAAAUAUAUUUAGGUAUAGCCUCGGGUAAAAGUGUCGCGGAGGUAGAGCACUGGUAGGGCUAGGGCCCGCGAGGGUACCAACCCCUGUCAAACUCCGAAUGCCGUAGACAUGUUGCCCGGGAGUCAGGCUGCGGGGGAUAAGCUUCGUAGCCGAGAGGGAAACAACCCAGACCGUCAGCUAAGGUCCCCAAGUGCAGGCUAAGUGAUAAAGGAGGUGGGAUGGCCCAGACAACCAGGAGGUUGGCUUAGAAGCAGCCACCCUUUAAAGAGUGCGUAAUAGCUCACUGGUCGAGCCAUCCUGCGCCGAAAAU
rnacentral:rRNA from 1 species